UCCGCACCGCUCCGCACACACCCGGCCGCUCGGCUCCCGCCGCCUGCGGGCUGCGGCCGGCCCUGCCUCUCGGGGCCGGGGCCGCCCUGAGGAAAAGCGCUGGGGGCGGCGCGGGCCGGGGGGAGCGGGGCGCCGCUGGUCACCGGAGCGGCGAGGGCCGGGCGGCGCGGCCCUCCGGGGCCACCGAAGCCAGCACACAGGGGGCGGGUGACCGCUUUCUGCGGUGGAAGAGCUCUCAGCACAGAUCUCCUGUCCCUGCCCACGGAGCCCUCCGUGGGGAAGUGCCCGGCUUCCCUUGGGGCACGGUCAAUGCACAAUUCCGUGGAUUUUGAGGCUUCCACAUGGACGUUACCCUUCCGUACUGCCGUACUGAACGCAGCAUGCCUCUAAACAUGAGACAGUUCACCUUCUUCGGCAUAGCUCUACUUUUAUCCUUGAUUAAGCCAUCGAAUCAGUACUCCAGGAGUCAGCUAGUGGUGUAUUUGCAACACAGUUCAAACUUUUAACGUCAUGUAAUGGUUUCGUAGAACGCUUCUGGUUUUGAAAUACAACACAAGAUUGUAAAAAACCCUCAAUACUGUGUAUUUAGUCUCUUCCACAAGGGAACUUAAUAUUUAACUGGCAACUGCAUUCUGGUAAUGAUACAGUUAAAGGGCUAUAAAUAAAUAUUAACUGUGAACGCUACCCUGGCAAAAAGAUUUUUCACAAGUGGGUCUCUCAAUUCUUCUUCCUCAGAGAUUCUCAAUAAUUACAAAAAGUUUAGGAGAGAGGUUAGCAAAUACCCAUUAUUUGUUUAAAAAUAAUGAUGAAUUAAAACAGGUAAUCCUGGAAAUAAAUAUAAAACCUUAUAAGUGGGUUGGCUUUUCAGCUUGGCCAUCCUGUGGCAAUCUACUUAAUAAAAUUUAAAGAUUCACGGUAACAGUACUUCACCUCUUCCAGAUCAAAGUACUAAUUUAGUUUUCCAUUUGUUGUUUUAAUUCCCAUUUACCGGCAUGUGUAGGACAGCUGCACAUCCCACUGGAGGAAUGGCUUGCUGAGGGACCUGAACGGUGCUUCUUAAGUUAAUUGGCAGUGGUUUGCUGAUCACUGCAUGUACACAAUGUAGCUGUAAUACUAUGACAUCUUUAUUUUUUCCGUUUUAUGUUUUUGGUAAUUCAGCAUUAAAUGUAAUGAGAGGCUUGGAAGCCUGUGACUUCCAUGCUGCAGCACCUGCCCUGUGCCCAGGACGGCCACUCCUCUGCCUCCACAGGAUGCUCAUCUGAACUAGCUUACUGAGCAGGAGUUGCUAGUGUGAGUCUCUAGAUGAUCUGGGAAGAGAGAAAUGAUACUGCAAGAUGGGAUGCCCUGCUGUGCUAGAAGCUGCUUACAUCGAGUAUGGGGUAAGGGCAGGACUUCUUUAGCACCAACUCCGCUUGCAGCUUCGCAGGAAAACUUGCAGGUACUUGACAAAUACCAUACUCUGUUAAUAAUGGCUCGAGCCCAUCCUGCUUGAUUAAAGAGGCUGCAUUUAUAUUCAUGUGCAGCAAUAGAAAGGUUUAAGGAAUUAAUUUAUAUUUGCAUGCAGGCAGCUGAAUGAGAAAAUAAGACAGGAGACCGCCUCGUCCAGGAGAAGGGUGCAUGUAAUGAUACAUCAAACCUCUUGCAAAAGCUGUUUGUGUUUUCUUCAGAUGAUGAUGUUGUCCUUCUGUGUCCCCUGUAGUCAGAAGAUAUUUGCAUAGGUGCUUCCUUCUGCUUUCAAGACUGUGUCCUGCUGCUGGUGGCUCAUAUUUUGGGUUCUGUUAAUGGUAAGGGUAGGAUUUUAAGACAAAGGGGAAAGGAACAAGUACUUCAACUCUAACUUCAAAUCUAAUUUGUUCAGUUUCUGAAAGAAACAGAGUGACUGAACAAAGUUUGUGUCCUCAUAGAGUGGGGAUUGGUCUCUACCUUCUCCCUUCUGUGACGAAGCUCAGCACCGCGGCCCCACGGUUCGCUGCGGCUUUUGAAGUCACUUACAAAGACCAGUGGGGAGUAGGAGAGUUUCUGCAUGUUCCUUCUGCUUCAUCCUCAGUGCUGCCUGAUUUAGGGCCAGGAGGUUCCCUUCAGACAGGGGUAGGUGUAGAUAGCAAAUGCAACUUCUUUACCAUUACUUGAAGGAUUCGAGGGGGUGCUUUGUGUGUAGUUAGAACGGAAUCUUUUACUUUUCCCCAGUUUUUCCUGCUUGGGACGUGUUGUGCUUCAAAAGCUAGUUGUAAUCUGCCCCUUCAUUCAGUUGAGCAGAAGGAAUAAGUUUAAACCCCACCUCUGUGUAUUUCAAGAAACCUUACCUUGACAUUUUGGGCACCUCAAGCCACGUGGGAGCAAGACAGGGAGAUCAAAUGCGUAUUUAUGCAGUUUGAUGUCAUGUGUGGGGAAAGCUAUACACUGCAAGGUAACCUCCUGGAAAAAUUGUUACGAGAAAUCAAUAUCCUGAGCAGCCAGGAGCUGGGCAUGGCUCAGUUUGGAGACAAAUGGACAUAACAGCCGUGAGCAGAGCUGGCAGUGGGCUGCGGUGAGCGCAGAACAUUGUGUCUGGAAUGUAUUUGUAUGUAGAGACGAGUGCCAAUCUGACACAGCCUCGCCUGUAUCCUUCCCUUUUGCCUGGGUAUACCUUUAACUGGGUGUUGCCUGGCUGAGCAUGUUUAAUGCCCUAUUAGAUUUUAUGCCUUGUCAGCAUGGGAUCAGCAACUGGAGUUUUGCAAUGGCUGAUGAGCAAGCAGUUGUGCAGUUGCUGUUCCUGAAAGGCUGCAUGUCUCAGAAAAAAACAGUAUGGUGUUUACGAAGAUUUUAAAUUUUCAAUAAAAUACUUGACCAGUGUCCCAUUUACAAGAUGUUUCCAUUUACAUUUCAGGAAUCUUUUAAAAGCACAGAUUAUGUGCAUUUGGAUCUUGAUUUGCAUCAUUUGAGGUGCUCAUCUUAAAAGUAACAGGUUUGUUCAUAGGAAGUUCUUGUUGAGAAAAAACUAUUUCCAUUGUAAUUUUAAUUCGAAGGCAUCUUGUUACAGAACUCUAACGCUGCUUGUUCAAUGAAAAUCUAGUACAUGCAGCAUGUAGUUGAUGUCAGCCUUGUAGUAGCGUUUCCUUGAUUUGUGUAACUGCAGCAUGCUUUCACCGUACAAGGUGUAACCUUUCCUGGUGCUCAUGAUGAUGAUGAUGAUGAUGAUGCAGGGGUAUUUUUAUUUUUUAUUUUUCUAUUGGCUUGUCUUUGACACAAAGAAUUUUUCAGGGAACUAGAAGAAAGAUGGGAAGAGCAAGGCUCUGAAAACUGUGUUGUAUGAACCAGUAAUUUAUAAGAUCUGAUACAUGGCUCACUGGUCACUGUGACAAGAAAGUAAAAUUGUUAAGACUGAAGCCAACAUGGGGUGCAAGGGGUGAUGCUACUGUCAUUGUUUUGUUGUUUGUGAGCAACACAGAGUGAGUAAUCUUCUGUAACCUUUUAGAAUAUUGCUACCUCCUGGUAGAUUUCAAUUUUAAACAAAUUCUAUAGUGGCACUUCUAUUUAAAAGGAAGCUAAAAAGCAGUGAAGUGUAAUUUCAGUCCCACCCUCAGUCUGAAGAAUUCAAAACUACAUCUUCUUAUUCCCAACAAACAGCUUUUCUUAACUAUUAGUGGAAGAUUCAUAUGCCAGAAAGAGAAAAUAAGAAUUUACUGUUAAGGCUAGUGAGAGUCACCUGGGACUCUUCUCUGCGUUUCAUUUACUGACUAGUAAAGGUAAACUGCCAGAGGGCCUCAUAAGCACUGAUAUCCUUUACUGGAUCCAGGCUACGGAGUACUUUAUGGGAUCAUAAGCUUAGCCUUUUCUGUGUUUGGUUUAUGUUUUACAUGAUGAGGAUUAAUGGUGGUUACCACCUGUAGAGUAUGCUUUGAUCUAUAUCUAAAGCAUGAUCUGUGUUUACUGAGUAGAUAGCGCUCUCUUUACUUUAACUUGCACUGAAACCAUUCGCCUAAAGCUGUUACUAACUCUAAACUAAUUCCUCUCUCAAAAGUCUUUUAUUAUAAACCAAGUAUGUUUCUGAGUGAUCAUUAUUUUCACAUUAAAAAAAAAACACAAACCACAAAAAUGCAUGGCAAAACGAGUGCCUGCUGUGUCAGCCAGUAAGUAAUGGACUCUUUGUGGACACAAAAAGUAAAUGUUCCUUUUGUUUUCCUGCACCUGUUGCUGUAUUACAAAUAAAAUCAUCCGAUGUUUUAUUAAAUAAAAUGGAAAGCCUUAAUAAAAUUGUACCAGCCAUUACCAGGAAGCCUAUUGAAAACAUUCAGCAGCUGCUUCAGUCUCAGUUCACUUACACUGAUAGGAUUGUUUCGUCCUUCUGCUCUAAGUGAAAAAGCUGCAGUGCCGUGUCGGUGUGCAGCAGAGCCUGGGACCGUUUCAUACCACUCUCCUCUAACUCCCUUUGAAGUAUUUGAUUAGAAUCAAUAAUAAAUCAUGCUCAGCAGUUAAGUGCCUGUGACUUACAAAAGUUUGUUAGAAGUGAGUGUCCCGGGUCUUACAUCUAAGUGUUUUGCAAACAUCAGCUUACAUACCCUUACAGCAUAGUGGUAAAGCAGGUAAAGAUCUACUGUGUUAUUCUGACUUUACAGAGGGGGAUUAAUCAGACAGGUUAAGGCUCAAAUCAGUCAACCUUUUUCAUUAGAUAAAAUGCCCAGGUAGCCUGAG